GCAUCGGUGGGUUCAGUAGUAGAGAAUGCUCGCCUGUCACGCGGGCGGCCCGGGUUCGAUUCCCGGCCGAUGCU
rnacentral:tRNA from 1 species